rnacentral:rRNA from 1 species
CCAUUCGAUUUAGUUGGGCACUCUAAUGAGGACUGACCGGUGACAAACCGGAGGGAAGGUGGGGAUGAACGUCAAGUCCUCAUCGGCCCUUAUGGUAGGGCUUCACACGUCAUACAAUGGUCGGUACAGAGGGUUGCCAAGCCGCGAGGUGGAGCCAAUCCCUUAAAGCCGAUCGUAGUCCGGAUCGUAGUCUGCAACUCGACUACGUGAAGUCGGAAUCGCUAGUAAUCGUGGAUCAGCAUGUCACGGUGAAUACGUUCCCGGGUCUU